ACUAGAUCUAGCCCACACUCCCCCCCNNNNNNCCCCCCCCAAUCACAGACAAAUCAAAUAAAGCAUUCACCACCCAUUCAAAGUAUAGGAGAUAGAAAUCCAAAUCACUAGUGGCGCUAUAGAGAAAGUACCGUAAGGGAAAGAUGAAAGAUAUCCUAAAAGUAAAAAAAAGCAAAGCUUACCCCUUGUACCUUUUGCAUAAUGAAUUAACUAGUAGUAACUUAGCAAAGAGACCUUUAGUUAAACUACCCGAAACCAGACGAGCUACUUACGAACAGUACCUAGAACGAACUCAUCUAUGUGGCAAAAUAGUGAGAAGAUUUGUAAGUAGAGGUGAAAAGCCUAACGAGCCUGGUGAUAGCUGGUUGUCCAAGAAAAGAAUCUCAGUUCAACAUUAAACAGUACCAAGAACCCCCUGAAGUUCCAAUGUAUGUUUAACUGUUAGUCUAAAAAGGUACAGCUUUUUAGAAAUGGGUACAACCUUAACUAGAGAGUAAAACAGACACACACAUGCCAUAGUUGGCUUAAAAGCAGCCAUCAAUUAAGAAAGCGUUCAAGCUCAACAAUAAAACUGUGUUAUAAUCCCAACAAUAACAAAUCAACUCCUAGUAUAAUUAUUGGACUAAUCUAUAUAAUUAUAGAAGCAAUACUGUUAACAUGAGUAACAAGAAAACUUUUUCUCCUCGCACAAGCUUACAUCAGUAACUGAUACUACACUGAUAGUUAACAGCCAAUAAAUAAAACCCAACGCCAAGCCAUUUAUUAAGCCCACUGUUAACCCAACACAGGCGUGCACCAAGGAAAGAUUAAAAAAAGUAAAAGGAACUCGGCAAACACAAACCUCGCCUGUUUACCAAAAACAUCACCUCUAGCAUAACCAGUAUUAGAGGCACUGCCUGCCCAGUGACUGAUAGUUAAACGGCCGCGGUAUCCUGACCGUGCAAAGGUAGCAUAAUCACUUGUUCUCUAAAUAAGGACUUGUAUGAACGGCCACACGAAGGUUUUACUGUCUCUUACUUUUAAUCAGUGAAAUUGACCUUCCCGUGAAGAGGCGGGAAUAACAAAACAAGACGAGAAGACCCUAUGGAGCUUCAAUUAAUCAACCCAAUAACCCACAACCUCAAACCACCAAGGGAUAAAAAAAAACUUAUAUGGGUUGACAAUUUCGGUUGGGGUGACCUCGGAGCACAAAAACCCCUCCGAGUGAUUAAAGCCUAGGCCUACCAGCCAAAGCAUAACAUCACUUAUUGAUCCAAAGCUUUGAUCAACGGAACAAGUUACCCUAGGGAUAACAGCGCAAUCCUAUUCUAGAGUCCAUAUCGACAAUAGGGUUUACGACCUCGAUGUUGGAUCAGGACAUCCUAAUGGUGCAGCCGCUAUUAAGGGUUCGUUUGUUCAACGAUUAAAGUCCUACGUGAUCUGAGUUCAGACCGGAGCAAUCCAGGUCGGUUUCUAUCUGUUGCGCAUUUCUCCCAGUACGAAAGGACAAGAGAAAUAAGGCCAACUUUACACACGCGCCUUCAAAUAACUAAUGAUCUAAUCUUAAUUAAACAAACAAGCGCAAACUAACCCUGCCCAAGACCAGGGCAUU
rnacentral:rRNA from 1 species